ensembl:lncRNA
AUGUUUAAAAGAUCCCAAAGCACAAGUGCAUCUUUUCAGAUGAACUGCAAAAGAAGUUUCCCUCGUACCAACCCAGUACUGCAAAGUCAUGGUAUGAUGGCUGCUGUAGCUCAGAGCGAAUUGAACCGAGUCACUCCUCCUUGUGUGGGACAGAUGCCCAAACACUGUGGCAACCUUGUUGAAAGGGACCUUUGUAGCUGUCAGGAGCGGUGGAGGGGGCUGAAGAAGCACAUGCAGCGCUGUGAAAACACUCACAUGAACAUGUUCAGACACUCUGACAAUGUGCUUCAUUUACAAGUCAGGAUACAACUUAUUUAUCAAUUUGCUGUUCUGCAGCUUUCAGUGACAUCAUGUAAUCUUCAGCUGCCGAUUGAGCGUGCCCAGAUGUGAACCAGAAAUCCCUGAGCUCCUUUAGGAAGAAAUGGAUGUUAAGAAAGCUGCAUUUCCACGACAACUAGGGCCAACUCUGUCUGCUGAUAAAGAUCAUGUGAUGCAAUCCAAAGCUCCAGAAUGACUUUUAAUGGACCUCGGGGCAGGGUUUUCUGAAGAGCUUUUCUCAAGGUCAAAAAAAAAAAAAGUUGUAAUAUUAUUGCUGCUUGUUUGAAUGUAGGCUAUAAAGUCAAAUUACAUGCUUUUGUGGGGUCUUUUCACAUAGGCUGUGUGUGCAGCUUAUAAUAAUAAAUAAACAGUUUAAUUUGCCCAGACAUUUUUAAGCAAUGAGAGACAGCAGUAACAAUUAAUACUGUGGCAAUGAAAAAACAUUCAUUUUAAAAUCACGAGUAUCGGCAAUACCAAUUCAACAAAACAAAAUUUUUCGUUUUUUAAAGCUGAUCGAAUAGUAAAAUAUAUGAUCAAACUUGACAGUCAUCCUAAAAGGCCACUGGACACUUACUUAAGAUGUUGUUUUUAAUAAUUUUACAAAUUAAAUGAAGAAAAUGCUUAAAAAUUUGCCGACUUUCCCUCUAAAACAAACUGUUUUCCCCUGAGCUGUACUUCCUCACAAUCCCUUACUUACCAUAAUACACAAAAUCAGUCCAACAACUGCUCCUACGCAAUCAGCAUUUGAGCAACCCAACUUGACACAUUGGUACAUCUUAGGCCCCCGAAGGUUCUCGUCAGAUGCUAUGAAGUCACCACGUUGCCUAGCAACCGCCUACCAAUGGACUGAAAUGACCCAUUUGUUGCAUUUAUGCACAUUCAACACUUUUUUAAAGCAUUGUGUCGUGUCAGUAACUUCUUACUGAUGUUCACAAACCUUGAAAAAUACAUGAUGUAUUAUGAAGCCAUCACCUUGCCUAACAACCACCUAACAACGGACUAAAAUCACAGGCCAAACAAUACGGUACUGCAUAGGCUUUUACUAGCAGACUUACAUUCAGAGCUCUUGGAUUGCUGUGUCUCUCUCUUAUAAUGUUUCUGAUAUGAGAUCUUUUCAUCAUCUAACAUCUCUAGGCGCCGGGGCGAGAUUAAAUACAGCAUCUCUAUAUGCUGCCAGAUCUUUAUUCACCCAGAGUCUCAUUAAACUGUCAUUCAAAACUAUUUAAAACAGUACAAUGGCCUGUCUGCUACAUAUCUGUUUUUUGAAUAGGUCCAGAGACAGGUACUGUCUCAUUUGCAUUGAUUAUUAUCAGAAUCUUGUCACUGAUGUCUGUGUGUUACCAAUGAAAAUUAUGAUACUGUGCAAGUACUAUUCAAGCAUAAUAAAACUAACUUAGAGUUCAAUUAUUUGACCUAAGACUAAAAUCUGAUGAACAUAUCAAAGUCAGGUGGCUGUGAUUCAAUUGGUAAAGCAGGUUUUGCAUUUCACAUGGACCCUCCACUAUACUGGUGAAGAGGUGAAUAACAACCCCUUAAAGACUUAAACUGCUUGUAAGAAGCACAACUUGCUUAACAUUUGGCAACUUUUUCCAGUUUUAGGGCCCAUUUUGAUCUCUAUGUCUAGACUCUGAAGCUAGUUUUGAGAAUUAUAGUCCAUUAAAACUGGCGUGCCCUAUUGGCAGAUUUCUUUUUUCAUUUUGCUUGACACGGGACAAUUGGAUUAUACUUAAGAAUAUUUGGCUUCUUCCUAGUGGGGCUGGUGCCAUCCUGCCAAGAUCUAUAGAGCUCUCUGCGGCCUUCAGAAAAGGCUAUCAGUGGGUGUCUAUCAGUCUGGCUGUGGGUUUAAAAAGAUCUCCAAAUUAUUUGAAAUAAUUAUUCUGCUAUAAUGGCUCAGAUUUCAAAUGAAUGCCAGUUUUUCCAGGCUAAGGGCAGACUGGUGAUGGAUGCAGAAUCGGAAAAAUAUUACAAAAAUUUCACCUGCAUAAAAAAAAGGCUUUGCCGUCCAAAAACAUAGAGAAUGGACAUUAAGAUGAUGAGCAGGUGUUUUUGGAAUAAUGUGCUGAAAGACAGAGUUGUCUGGCCACGGGAAAAGCAGAAAUAUUAGGCCCUGACCCGCAGACUUCAGGAGAAACUAUGAGAAAUGGUGGCGGGAAUAUUAAGUGUUGAGGUUGUUUGGCGCCUCGGGGACUGGGCAGCUCACAGUCAGUUAUUCAAUUAUUAAUCCUGCAUCGCGUCAAAGAGUGCUUGAUGAUAAUGUGAAGGCAUCUGUCUGUCUGAAAUUUUCAGUGAAAAUGUAAAUGGGUUUAUCAGGAGAAUAAUUAUUCUAAAGCACACAGAGAAACAUAUCAAGAAAAGGCUCAGGAAGGAAAAGAUGGAGCCAAAGCCCUGAUUUGAAUCCCUUUGAAAUGCUGUUGGGAGAUUCAAAACACACGGUACAUAAAACCACUCUUGAAGGACACGAAAGAGGGGUCAAAAUGUAACAAUUGUACAAAAUAGCUACAGUAAUGGUUUUUUUGUUUGCCACAGAGCGCAAUACCGGCUUUCAAGGCUUUAUAUUUACUUCAGACUCUCUGGAUGUUUUUGAUAAAUCAGUAAUUGUUGAAGUCAGCAAGGACUGUCCAGAUUUAUACAUAAACAUCACAAUUUCCUUGGGCUGUUCUUACUUUUUUAUAUUGUGCGUAUUAUAUUGCGCAUGAGCACACCCCGCCUUGGUUGUGUCACUGGUGCAUUUAUUCUUUAAGCCUCGUAGCAGAUUUGUGCACAGAGUGUCUGCACCUAUUAAACUGGUCUGCUGGUUUCUGCUGC